AACGGUCUAUACCUGCGGUACCUGCGGAAGGAUCAUUACCGAGUUUUCAACUCCCUAACCCUUCUGUGAACCUACCUAUCGUUGCUUCGGCGGACUCGCCCCAGCCCGGACGCGGACUGGACCAGCGGCCCGCCGGGGACCUCAAACUCUUGUAUUCCAGCAUCUUCUGAAUACGCCGCAAGGCAAAACAAAUGAAUCAAAACUUUUAACAACGGAUCUCU
rnacentral:misc_RNA from 1 species